CUCACGACGAUAUUAGGAGGGCCUCACCCAUUAACCCUUCAAUUAUAUCAUGUCUCCCACAUGAGUACUGGCCAUGAAAGGGUUUCGGUUGGCCAUUCGGUUGCAUCACUUCCUCCAUCCGAGGGUACUGCUAUGAGGGGGUUUCAGUUGGUUCAUCGAUUACAUCAUCUCCCCUUCCUGAGGCUUGCAAUUUAUUGUUGUUAUUAUAUUUUUUAUUAAAUGUCAUUGUUCAAUUUGUUAUUAAUAUUCAUAUAGGGUAUUGGCUAUGAAAGGGUAUCGAUCGAGAGUUCUCCCU